GUAAAUGUAGAUUUAUUAGCAUUGUUCAUUAUAUAAUAAAAUAGCUAAACUAGAAGACAGACAUUAUUUCAGCUUGGCUGUUUUUUUGGCUUAAAAUUUUAAAUGGUAUUGUCAAUUCUCCUUAAAUUUAGGCUGUGGCCCCCUUUCCACCCUUAGGAUUUCCAGACCUCAGCAAGGCAUAGACAGAUUUUUACAUUUUGGUCUAUUAUACAAAAUCAAAAAAUCAAAUGCGAACUAACUAUUCAACAUAACAUUGACUGGAUUUCAAAAUAAUAUUUUCUGAUGAAAUAUUUGAUCAGCAUUUGUAAAGCAGUCUUUUAACCUGGCAGAAAUACAUUAUUUAUAUGUUUUCAUUAGUCCUGUUUUCAGAUUUUGCUGUUUACAUGUAUGGGUUAAUUAACAACAUAGGCAUCCUCUCUUGUUGGGGGUCUUCCUGCUUUUGUCCAUCUCAUAUUUCUAACUACAUUUUAUAUGUAACUAUAACAGUGGCUGAGCUCAGCCAUCAAUCAAGCUACACAUAGAAAAUACAGAAAUAAAGGAGCACAUGGAUUUAAUUAAAUGAAUACUAUAGGGUCAGGAACAAAAAUAUGUAUUCCUGACCCUUUAGUGUUAAAAUCACUAUCUAGUCACCCCUUUUACCCCAAGAUAUAGUAAAAUCUUACUUAUCUUUAUUCCAGACUGCUGCUGCUGGUUCUGCCCCUGAUUUGCCUGCUUGGCUGACAUCAUCAGAACUGGUGAUCUGAGCCAAUCGCAAUAUUUUCCCAUAGGAAAGUAUUGGAUUGGCUCAGAUUGUUAAGAAGGCAUAUCAGGGGCAGAGCAAGCACAAGCCAAACAUAGCACUGGCCAAUCAGCAUCUCCUCAUAGGGAUGUAUUGGAUCAAUGCAUCUCUAUGAGGAGAUUUCAAUGUCUCCAUGCAGAGGGUGGAGACACUGAAUGUCAGUGAUGCACACUGUGCAGCACUGCCCCAGAAAGCACUUCUAGUAGCCAUCGGAUGAGUGGCCAGUCGAAGUAUCCUAAGGCUGUAAUGUAAACACUGCAUUUUCUCUAAAAAACUGUGUUUACUGCAAAAAGCUUGAAGGUGAUAAUUCUACUCAACAGAACAAACACAAUAAGCUAUAGUUGUUCUGGUGACUAUAAUGUCCCUUUAACUUUUAGUGAAGCCAAUAAAGUAUAUCUAAGGAUCACCUAAUAUAGACAAAAUAUAGUUAAUCGUUUUUUACAUUCUACUUGAUGAAAAAUGCACUAUUUAAAAGACAACCAACACAAAAUUGGAUUACUGGCAAACUAACUAUGAU